rnacentral:rRNA from 1 species
GACGAACGCUGGCGGCGUGCUUAACACAUGCAAGUCGAACGGAAAGGCCCUGCUUUCGUGGUGCUCUCGUGUGGCAAAGGGGUGAGUAACACGUGAGUACUGUGCUCCAGAUCGUGGUAAGACUGGAGAAAUGGGUGUCAUAUAGCGGAGGAGCGCUUUUUCUUGAUGUGGUUGGUUGGUUUGUUUCGGCGGGUGGGGAUGGACGCCCGGCUUGUUUGCUUGUUGGUGGGGUAGUGGCUUACCAAGGCUCGGGCGGGUAGCCGGCCUGAGGGGGUGACCGGCACAAUUGGGACUGAGAUCCGGCCAAGCCUCCUCCGGGAGGAAGCAGUGGGGAAUAUUGCAAAAUGGGCGGAACCCUGAUCCACGACCGCCGCUUGCGGGAUGACGGCCUCCGGGUUGUAAACCGCUUUCGCCUGUGACGAAGCGUGAGUGACGGUAAUGGGUAAAGAAGCACCGGCUAACUACGUG